CUUUGUUUCUCGCAGAUAAACUCAAACGUAACUCUAGAAGCAUCUUCUUUCAUCUCUCCGACAUGCUUCAUCAACUUUUCAUACUACUCUUUCCUUCCGACUGAAAGAGUCUCCUUUAUCUUCUGAGUUGGUUGUCGCCAUUUUAGUGCAGCUCCUGUAAAUAGUAUAGUUUGGCCAAGGCAGAAGAGUAUCUAAAGUGAUUAAAGACCCCAAUCGGUUACAUAUUAGUGCUUCUCCAAUUUUGAGGCUUAGUUUGACUUUCUUUUGAAGCAUGGCAUGGCAUGGCAGAAUUCUUUCAUGGAAAUAUUUGACCUUUUAUUAAAUAAUGGAUCUUGAUACUUUUUUUAUGUAGAUUAAAUUUACACUUAGAUAUACAAAUUUAUAUCUUAGUCG